rnacentral:rRNA from 1 species
GAAUUUUGGACAAUGGGCGAAAGCCUGAUCCAGCAAUGCCGCGUGCAGGAUGAAGGCCUUCGGGUUGUAAACUGCUUUUGUACGGAACGAAAAGCUUUGGGUUAAUACCCUGGAGUCAUGACGGUACCGUAAGAAUACGCACAGGCUAACUACGUGCAAGCAGCCGCGGUAAGACGGAGGGUGCAAGCGUUAACUGGAAUAACUGUGCGUAAAGCGUGCGCAGGCGGUUUUGUAAGACAGAGGUGAAAUCCCCGGGCUCAACCUGGGAACUACCUUUGUGACUGCAAGGCUAGAGUACGGCAGAUGGGGGUGGAAUUCCGCGUGUAGCAGUGAAAUGCGUAGAUAUGCGGAGGAACACCGAUGGCGAAGGCAACCCCCUGGGCCUGUACUGACGCUCAUGCACGAAAGCGUGGGGAGCAAACA